CAAGCAUUGUGUGGCUCCUGGCUGCCAGAGAGCAGAGUGUGGACAGCUUGGAGUGCUUUGGGUCUAAGGUAUGCUGAAUCCAGUGCCAGCCAUCUUGGCAGCUCUGAGGGUGGCUGUUUGAAGCAGGAGGGGACCAGGGCCACUCAGCAAGGUCCCUGUCAUCAGAAGUCUUAAGCCUUGGCUGGCUCCUCUGUGGUGGCAACUACCUUGUCAAAACCCUCUGGAGCUCUGGAGCUCUCUCAAUAAAAUCCUUACUACUGUUCAAAUAGUGCCUAGUAAACACGUCUGGUAGUGCCAGGGAGGUGGCUUAGUAGGCAAGGGCACCUGCUGCCAAGACUAUUGGUGUGAGUUCAAUCCCUGGAAUCCACGGUGGAAGAACAGAACCAAUCCUCUCAGGCUGGCCUCUGCCUCUGCGAAGGCACCCAGGCAUGAACUUGGCCAGACCUGUCUCUGCCCAUCUCAAAUAAAUAAGUGGGUACAAACAAAUAAACAAGUGAAAAAGAGAGAAGCUGUAAAAAACAAAAAGGCAGUGGUGGCACAUGCCUUUAAUCCUAGCAUUUGAAGGCAGAGGAUUUCUGAGUUCGAGGCUAGCCUCAAAAAACCAAAAGCAACAACAACAACAAAAAACUACUAGAACUGUUAAGAGGAUGAGGCAAGAAAACUGAAAUAAACCUAAAAGCAAAAAUGUUAUGUUGAAGCACAGCAGCCCCCUGUGAUUGGAAGCUCUCUGAAAAGGCCACACACGUGUUGAAGAUUCCUAAGACUGCAGAUGCUAAUUCCAGCUUGUGAAGAACUGGAGACUGAGAGCCAAGUGAUCUUCGAUGCACUUUGGCUGACCCAGGGCUGGGGUGGAGGGGACCCACUGCAUGAGAAUCAGCUGCAGACUGCUUCCUACCUUUCAUCAGCUUGUCCUCCCUCAUCUUCUGGAACCUUGGCACCCUACAUCUGGGCAGCGACAUGGUGCCUGAGGCUAAGUGUGCAGGGUGAAAAAAAACAAAAAAAAGGAAAAAAAAAGAAAUUGCUAGCCACCCUUAUGGUGUGGGCCGGAACUGUCAAGUGUCACUUCCACCAUACUUUCUUAAUUAAAGUGAAGUGAAGGGUGAGCCCACAUAACUGGAGGUACCACAUGAGGUUGUGGGUACCAGCAGAUGUGGUCUCGUGGGGUAAUCUUCCAGUGCUAGCUACUUCUUUAGGGAAGGCUGCCUACACACUGAAGUUGUAGCUAUGAGAUGUAGUCAUGGAGUUUAGAAAUG
rnacentral:lncRNA from 1 species